rnacentral:rRNA from 1 species
UACGAAGGGGGCUAGCGUUGCCCGGAAUCACUGGGCGUAAAGGGUGCGUAGGCGGGGCUUUAAGUCAGGGGUGAAAUCCUGGAGCUCAACUCCAGAACUGCCUUUGAUACUGAAGAUCUUGAGUUCGGGAGAGGUGAGUGGAACUGCGAGUGUAGAGGUGAAAUUCGUAGAUAUUCGCAAGAACACCAGUGGCGAAGGCGGCUCACUGGCCCGUUACCGACGCUCAGGCGCGACAGCGUGGGGAGCAAACAGG